UAUCAAUAAUUAUUAUUCUUUUUCUUGACAAAAAUGCUGAUUCCAAGGGAAAAUCCUUGGCCCACGGCUUGGAUUCGCCAUUCGAUUGCCAACUUCCCACUUCUCUCGGAUUAGGGGGCCCCUAAUUUAGGAUCAACCUCAAAACUCCCGGGUAGGAGACCAGCAGCGUGGACCUCAUCGAAGCUGUCGAGGAGAAGGAUCUUCUGUCCCGUGACAGUAAUCUGGGGAUUAGGACUGUGUCAGAUGUUCACGCUAUAAAAAAUCAGUAAGCAUCGAUUGGAAUUAUAGACCCUGCCUGACUUCAGAAGAGGUAUUCAUUUGUGCGACGUCCGCCAACAGAAUGACACCUUCAUCGCAAUCUUUUUCGUUCUGCUAGCUUCGAUUCUCAUCCAUCGCGUUGACUGAGCCUCCGCUGUGCACGCUGGACUCUGUACAAGACGCUGGGGGCUCAUGCGGGAAAAAACAAGGGGAGAGUCACAAGAAAGUAUUUCUCUUCCCCUGUCCUUGAGAAGCUGAGAAGCGGAAGGGGGAGACGGGACGAGAGGAACUCUGGAGGACUAUAAAGAUGGCUUCCAAAUUCCAUCCCAACCACUGUGGGGUCCCUAACAAGCGGUUGCCCUGAAUCCUGAGGCAGUUCGACCUGGCGGAAAGAGUUUGGCCCUGGGAGUCGGGCGACCUGGAUCCCAAUCCCGGUCCCGCCACCCGUCCGCGGUGUCA